CAGUCGCCGCGGGAAUACGAAGGGGGCUAGCGUUGUUCGGAAUCACUGGGCGUAAAGGGUGCGUAGGCGGAUUCUUAAGUCAGGGGUGAAAUCCCGAGGCUCAACCUCGGAACUGCCUUUGAUACUGGGGAUCUUGAGUCCGGAAGAGGUGAGUGGAACUGCGAGUGUAGAGGUGAAAUUCGUAGGUAUUCGCAAGAACACCAGUGGCGAAGGCGGCUCACUGGUCCGGGACUGACGCUGAGGCACGACAGCGUGGGGAGCAAACAGGAUUAGAUACCCCCGUAGUCCCUGUCUCUUAUAC
rnacentral:rRNA from 1 species